rnacentral:lncRNA from 1 species
UCCAAGAAAAGUACAAAAUAUGUCAUAAUUUUUGCUACAAUAAUUUUAUUGUUACAUACACACAUUUUCAGGAUAAAAAUCAAAUAAUUCGUUUCACUUAGGAAUGUAUUAUACAAAAAAGUGAGACUUCAACAGACAAGCACAAGAACUUACUAUAGUUAAAAUUUAUCUCCUUAAAUAUUUUUGAUGCACAAAUUUAACUUGGUAUACCACACCAUAAAUCUAAACUAUCUUGAGUUUAAAUAGAUUGGUAGUGUCCUCACUCCCCGACCUUCCAUGGAUGGUGACACAAAGGAUGAAACAAAGGAUGGGGAAAAAGAUGUAUAUGAGAUGAUGUACAGAGGAUGAAACAUUAGUAAUUAUGAUGCUGAUCUCUAGUAAGCUAACCUUUCAACUUACAAAUCAAUAAAAGCUAAUAGGUAAACAAUUUUACUUCUAGAAAAACAAAUCUGUAUCAAACAAGAAGUGCUUAUAUUUACUAAAGUAUAUAUGAUUAUGGUGAAAAUUUUCCCCGUUAUCUCAAAAUGGCAGCAAAGAGAACUGCUCACCUCCUACUAUAAUUUUUCUUUAUAAUUAGUGUACAGCAUUACCUUCGGUAAUCUCAAUCCUUUCACUUUUAUCAUCCUCCUCCUUUAAAAUCUUUCCUUUCCCCAACUAUCUUCUCAAGCUUUGCUACUUACUAAGAGUGGGUCCCAGGCCAGCAUCAUCAGCAUCUUCUGGGAGCCCAUUAGAAAGGCAGAAUCUCAAGUUCCUCCCACGACUUAUUAAAUCAGAAUUGACAUUUUAACAAGAUCCACUCCCACCAGCCCCAAGAUCCGCUGGGAGAUUAAAUUUAAGCAUCUCCGCUCUACACUUGGUGGAAAGGAUUUCUAGCCUCACGGUCUGUGUCUCUUGUUCUUACCCUUUAUAUGUUUUCAUUGGUCCUCAGGUUAAUAAGGUUAGUAAGCAUCUUAAAAACUAUUGAUUUCAAAACUUCCAUUUUACAGAUAAACUAGAAAUAAACUUUAAUGCCUAGCACAAGACCUUACAAGAAAAGGCCCUUAAUAAAAGACAAGUUGGAAGACAAAGGCAAGAUGACAGAGAAGUUGAAGCUAAAAGAGGUUAAGGAUUUAGACGGUUUCUAUAGCUAAUUAGUUGCAUGGUGAAACUGUGUCUCAUGUUGACUCCAAAGAUCAAUGCUCAUUCCAAUAUACGAUGCAAGGCAAAGCCAGAGUUGCUGAGUCCCACCUCCCCCAACUUCUCACUGGGAUGUACGUAAGAGAGUAUGUCCUUGUGAAUAGGUGAAUGUGCACACAUGUGAAAACCUAGGUCUGCCCAGCUCUGGAGUGCUUCCCAAGAGAACAGUGUGAAAUAUUAGAAGUUUAGGCCAGGUGCGGUGGCUCUUGCCUGUAAUUCUAGCACUUUGGGAGGCUGAGGCGGGCAGAUCACGAGGUCAGGAGUUCGAGACCAGCCUGGCCAACAUGGUGAAACCCCAUCUCUACUAAAAAUACAAAAAUUAGCCAGCUGCAGUAAUGGGCGCCUGUGAUCCCAGCUACUUGGGAGGCUGAGGCAGGAGAAUUGCUUGAACCUGGGAGGCAGAGGUUGCAGUGAGCCAAGAUUGUGCCACUGCACUCCAGCCUGGGUGACAGAGCAAGACUCCGUCUGGGGGGAAGAAAAGAAGUUUAUAAUUUCCUGUACUAUAUUCUUUGAUCCUCUUCUCUUCUACUAAAAAAUACCCGUGGUCACUGGUAGGUAGGAAUCAAGAAGUAAAAAGUAAAAGUAAUAUGAGACAACUUUCAAACAUAGAAACAACUAGCCUGAAUUGGGUUGGGAAUUAUUACUUGAUUAUGCAACUGUUCACUCUCCCCUACUUCUUUUCGUCUAUACACUUCUGUCACCCUCUUCCUGUGCCAUUCCCCGCUGCAUCUCUUAUUUAACUGUCACAGAAAAGACAAAGUUGAAAAGUUACUUGUACAAUCCUUGUUGCUCUUUGGAAUAAAAACACUACCUAAAUCCUAUAAUUAUUAUAAAUAAUAACUUAUAAUUCCUAGUAUUUUAAAAUUUUUACCAGGUAUUUUCAUAAAAAUUACCUUAAAGUCAUCAUAACAGCAUGUCACUGUUUUUGAUAGUAACAGUGAUUAUAAAAAGAUGGACAAUUAUUGGACAUGAUAAAUCUAUUUACAUUUUUUCAAAUAAUAUCAUAUUAUAAAAAUUAUAAAAGCAGAAAAAGUUCAGGCAAUAAACCCAAAAAAAUGACUAGCAGGAAAAGCAACACCACAAUUUUACUUUUAAAAAAGCAAAGAAUCCAGUAUUAAAGUUGGUAUAAAACAUUGCAGUAAUGCUCAAAAGAUAAUGCUUUAAAAUAAAAGUAUUGUGGUGCUAAAUAUAAUGGAUUAAAUUAUGUCUUAUGAAAAGACCAGAAGAAGGUGACAGGUAUAUAAACAAUUCACAAUAAAACUAGCCAGCAGGUCAGUAAACAGAGAGAGCUUUAAUGAUUUGAAUAUCUGAUUUGAUUUCUUAUAUAUCAGUGCCUUAUGCCUAUUUAACAUUUGACAAUAAAAUAUACUUAACUAUGAUUAACAGGAGCACCUGAGAUUGCAGAGUUUACACUACAACAGAAAUAUAACUACUGAAAUACACCAUUCACUGUAAGAAUCCGUAUUACAGCUAACCUUAUUACAAAAGCAUUUAUCAGAAUUUUAAGUCUCCUAAACUCCAUCUUGGAUAAAAUAUAGUAACAAUAUGGAUAAAUCAAAGACUACUAGCACUUCAUAAAUAAUUACUGCAUGUAUUAGAUUAUUCCUACUAACAGAAUAGAUUAAACAGCAGAUCAGAUGAAGAUAAAAAGAGAAUUAAAUAACUGGAGCACAGAACCGAAGAUAUUACCUGUAAUGUGGCACACACAAAAAAACAAUGAAAUGAAAACUAGGAGAAAAGGGCUAAGAGACAUUAAGAAUAAAAUGAGAAAGUGCAACAUAUGUCUGUCUAAAAAGAUAGAAGACUGAGUCGGGCGGGGUGGCUCAUGCCUGUAUUCCCAGCACUUUGGGAGGCUGAGGUGGGUGGAUCAUGAGGUCAGGAGUUUGAGACCAGCCUGGCAAACAUGGUGAAACCCCGUCUCUACUAAAAAUACAAAAAUUAGCCGGGUGGUGGUGGCACGUGCCUGUAAUCCCAGCUACUCAGGAGGCUGAGGCAGGAGAGUUGCAUGAACCUGGGAGGCAGAGGUUGCAGUGAGCCAAGAUUGAGCCACUGCACUCCAGACUGGGCAUCAGAGCAAGACUCUGUCUCAAAAAAAAAAAAAAAAAAAAAGAUAGAAGACUAAUAAUAAACAAGAAGCUAUAUUUGGAUAAGGGCUGAAAUCUUUUUUUAAGAACUGAUUAAAGAUAGGAAUUCUCAGAUACAGGAAGCACAACAUAAAAAAAAGCAGGAUAAAUAAAUUUAUGUCUGUAUAUUGUGGGGAAACUACAAAAUAUAAAAUACAUGUAUUUUUUUCUUAAAAGCAGCUAGGGAAUAAAAAUAAAAUACAUUAUUUACCAUUAGUGGAACAGAUAUCUCAGAGCAAGAGUGAAUGCCAGAAGAUAGUACAAGAGUAUCUUUAAAAUGUUGAGAAAAAUUAUUUAACCCAGAAUUACAUACCAAGAAAAUUAUUCAUUAAAAAAGGUAAAACAAAGCUAGUUUCAGAUUUAAAAAGUGAAAUUAUCUGUUUUAGAUUUUCACCAAAAGAACUUCUAAGCAUAAUGGAAGAAAAAUGAUCCUGCAAAGAAAGACUGAAAUAUAAGAUGAAAGGUGAGAAAGAAUCUGGUAAAUCUUAUAGAUCUAAAUAAAUGCUAUACAUUAAUAAUAAUGUCUAAUUUAUAGGUUGACAAAACUAAAAGACUGGAAAUCAAGACAAUAUUUUCUGUUCAAAGAGGUGUGGUCAAAAUUAAUGUUCGAGGCCUCCCGCGGUGGCUCACACCUGUAAUACUAGUGGGAGGCCGAGGCGGGCAGAUCACUUGAGGUCAGGAGUUUCAAAUCAGCCUGGCCAACAUGGUGAAACCUCACCUCUACUAAAAAAAAAAAAAAAUAUAUAUAUAUAUAUAUAUACACACACACAAAAAUUAGCCAGGCAUGUUGGCAGGCACCCGUAAUCCCAGCUACUUGGGAGGCUGAGGCAGGAGAGUUGCUUGAACCCGGGAGGCGGAGGUUGCAGUGAGCCUAGAUUGCACCAUUGCACUCCAGCUUGGGCGAAAGAGUGAGACUCCAUCUCAAAGAAAACAAAAAACAAAAUUAUUGUUCUAAAGUCCUAGUAUUAUUUAGAAGAGGUUUAAAUAUUAACAGUAGAUGUUAAAAGCUGUUAAACACACACAGCAAAAUUUCAAAGACAUCAGAGGCAUGGAAGCAACCAGGGUAGAUACCUAGCUUCCAAACUAGUAAAAUGGAGGAGAAAAUUAGAACGAAAAAGAAAAGAGAGCAACAAGUCAAUACUAGAAGGAAAAAAAACUUUUAAAAUGUUAGAAAAAUAAAAGUAUGGAGUUGAUAUAAAUACAUGUCCACAUAUAUCAGAAAUCACAAUAAUCUGAAAGCAUUAGUUAUAUGGUAGACAAUAACAUGUUAGAUUUUUAAAAAUCCAACCGUAUGCUGUCUACAAAAGAUAUACUAAAACAAAAGGACCCAGAAAGGUAGAAAAAAUAAAAGGGUGGAAAAAAUAAUACCAGGAAAAUAUAAACUAAAGAAAGAUGAGGGCAGAUAUGUUAAUAUAAUGCAUAAUAGACCUUAUAUAAUAUUAAAAGCAUUAUUAAAAAUAAAACAAAAGUUAAAUUAACCAGGAAGGUUAAUCCACUUCAAACACUAGUGUCUUUAAUUUUGUCUGUUUGGGUACUAUUUAUAAGAAUGGGAUCUUACACUAUGUUUUCUUCUACAAUUUGCUUUUUUUUUCUCUCAAUGAGACUCAUUCAUGUUAAUGUUUGCAGUUAUAGUUCAUUCCACUGCUGAAUUCCAUAGUAGAAAUAUAUCUAUUAUUAAUAUAUUCUAAUAUUAAUUGGUAAAAAGUGAAACAAGUGACAUGAAUAAGAACAGCAGUGCCGGGCGCGGUGGCUCACGCCUAUAAUCCCAGCGCUUUGGGAGGCCGAGGCAGGCAAAUCACGAGGUCGAGAGAUUGAGACCAUCCUGGCCAACAUGGUGAAACCCCAUCUCUACUAAAAAUACAAAAAUUAGCUGGUGUGGUGGCACACUCCUGUAGUUCCAGCUACUCGGUAGGCUGAGGCAGGAGAAUCGCUUGAACCUGGGAGGCAGAGGUUGUAGUUAGCCGAGAUCACGCCACUGCACUCCAGCCUGGUGACAGAGCAAGAGUCUCUCUCAAAAAAUAAUAACAAUAUAAAAAAAGAACAGCAGGAAUGUUUGUAAUAGCCAGAAACUUGUAACAAUACAGAGACUCACAAGAUUGCUUAGAGAUUGCACAAAUAUGUAGCACUAAAGCCAUGCAUUGCUUAACACCAGGGAUACAUUCUGAGAAAGGCAUCGUUAGGCAAUGUCACAGUCACACACAAACAUCGUAGAGUAUACUUACACAAACCCAGAUGAUAUAGCCUAUUAUAACUAGGCUAUAUGGUAUAGCCUAUUGCUUCCAGGCUACAAACCUCUACAGCAUGUUACUGUAUUGAAUAAUAUAUGCAACUCUAACACAAUGGUAUUUGUGUACCUAGACAUAUCUAAAUACAGAAAAUCUAUAAUAAAAAAUAUGAUAUAAAUGGUAUACCUGUAUAGGGCACUUACCAUGAAUGGAGCUUGCAGUACUGGAAGUUGCUCUGGGUUAGUGAGUGAGGGAGAGGUGAGUGAAAGUGAAGGCCUAGAACACUUCUAGACACUAAUGUAGACUUUAUAAAUAUUGUACACUUAAGCUACACUAAAUUUAUUUUAAAAUAUCCUCUUUCUUCAAUAAUAAAUUAACCUUGGUUUAUUGUAACUUUUAACUUUAUCAACCUUUAAAAUUCUUCACUUUUUGACUCUUGUAAUAACACUUAGCUUAAAACAUACAUUGCACAGCUGUACAAAACUAUUUUCUUCCUUUAUAUUCUUGUUCUAUAAGCUUUCUUCUAUUUUAUACCUUUUUUUUUUAACUUUUAAAACUUUUUGUUAAAAACAAGACACAAACACACACAUUAGCCCAGUCCUACACAAGGUGAGAAUCAUCAAUAUCACUGUCUUCACCCCCACAUCUUGUCUCACUGGAAGGUCUUCAGGGGCAAUAACACACAUGGAGCUGCCAUCCUGUGAUAACAACGUCUUCUGGAAUACCUUUCGAAGGACCUGUCUGAGGCUGUUUUACGGUUACAUUUUUGAAGGAGGAUACUCUAAAAUGAUGAUUAAAAGUACACUAUAGUAAACAUGUAAACCUACUAAUAUAGUUGUUUAUUAUCAUUAUCAACUAUUAUGUAUGGUACAUACUUGUAUUGUGUAUACUUUGGGAGCACAGUCAUUUGUUUACACCAGAAUCACCACAAACAUGUGACUAAUGUACUGCACUGUGAGGUUACAAUGCCACGAGGUGACAGGAAUUUUUCAACUCCAUUAUAAUCUCAUGGGAUCACCAUUGUAGAAACAGUUCAUUCUUGACUGAAACAGUGUUAUGCAGCACAUGGCCGCAUACACUGUACUAUAAAAAAAACACAAAGCUAUAAAUAAAGGCGAGGAUAUGAUUAACAUAAAAUUCUUGAUAGUAGUUACUUCUGGGAGAAGAGGUGAUAUAAUCUGGAAGUAUAACUAAGAGCCUUGGAACUACUGAUGGUGUAUGGUGCAGGGGGGAAGUUCUGCAACUUUGGAUGAU